UCUUGAUUUACCUAUGUGAUGUCUAGUGCUAUAAGGAGUCUAAAGGGGAUUGGCUGUAUACUUUUUUUUGUUUACCUUACAGGCAGAUAAACUCAGUUUUCCUCUAGCCUUCCUUUCUUCAUGAUGUGGGUGUUGAUUGUAGCCGAGAAGCAAGCAGGAUGCCCUUUGGCCCCUUCAAAGAAGCAAACUAGAGCAUUCAAAUGGACUUCUUCUAACCCUCUAGUCUCUUGGGAACAAACAUAAUGAACACAUCUGCAACAAAGAAAAACAGAAUUUCAGUAACAUUCAUAUGUAUCUCAGAGUGUCAUGAGUGAGGACACCACCACAGUUCCUUCCCACACCAAUGUUGCCAUCGUGGAUAAUUGAUUUGUCACUGGAUAACUAAGUGGUUAGAGUGUUGGGCUGAUUCAUGUGAGGAGAUCCAGGUUCAAAUCCCCACUCUGCUAACAACCUGGGUGACCUUGAACCAUUUACUAUCUCGCCGUCCACAGGAUAAAAUAGGGAAAGAGCCCUGUGGUACUCUACUCCAGAGUUCUCUCCAGGAUGAUAGAGCCAUUAAUGAGCACUCAUUGGAUAUCCUUUUUCAGCCCAAUCUGAACAGUAGUAUUGUCCAGUCCACAUUUUACCAUUUUGUCAACCAGGAUAUCAUGGGGGGAAAUCUUGGAAAAAAGAUCUGCAUAGACGUAAAUUGCUCAGUCUUUUUUUACCCCACUCACAUAUAAAAAUCUUUGGAGAAACUGGAACAAUUGGGAUCCUUUCAACUGAAGACUGAGACAGACCUCUACCAAUGAAGCCAAUAAAGUAUAGAUUAUACUUGUUCUUUAGAAAGAGAAACUUUGAGAGCAA